rnacentral:tRNA from 1 species
GGAGGGGUGGCCGAGCGGCUGAAGGCACCGGUUUGCUAAACCGUCAUACGAGGUAAACUUGUAUCGGGGGUUCGAAUCCCCCCCUCUCCGCCA